AUGGCAACAGAGAUCAAACUCGGCGACGGGCGAAAGACUAGCUUCUGGCAUGACCGAUGGUUGCACGGACAGUGCCCAAAAGUUCUAGCAUCUACCAUUUUCACCGUUUCAACGAGGACAAACCGGACAGUACAUGAUGCGCUAACGGAUCAGGCAUGGUUGGGUGACCUUGCACAUGGGCUGACUGACGACAUGCUGCAUGAGCUUUCCUGCCUUGCGGACAAACUGGAUAGUGUGGUGCUUGAGGAUGGCCAGCCAGACGCUAUUGCUUGGUGGUUCACACCGAACCAUGAAUAUUCCGCCCGCUCCGCCUACCUGCUUCAGUUCGAAGGAUCCGUGAUCUCCGAGGGGCACAACCUCAUUUGGAAGGGAUGGGCCCCGGGUAAAUGCCGUUUCUUCCUAUGGACGGCCAUCCUUGGCAGAAUCUUAACCGCGGAUGCUCUGCUGCAUCGGGGAUGGGAAAACAACUAUUUCUGCCCUCUCUGCGAGAGGAAUCUGGAAACCCCGACCCAUCUACUCUUGGAAUGCCCGUGGUCGCGGUUUGCUUGGGAAAAGAGGGCUCAUCUAACUCGCACGCCGGUGCUUCUACCGGCAACAUGGGAAGGUCUGGAUUCCAUCAAAGCAUGGCUAACAACCUGUCAUGAAAGGACAAGGGAAGAUGCGAGGAAAGGGGCUCUAUCCAUCUUACAGCUCAUGUCGUGGGAGAUAUGGCGUGAGUGAAAUAGACGUAUAUUUCAAAAAGAAGCCAUGAGCAGGGAGACUUUCUUUGACAAAGCAAGAGAAGAGGUCCGGCUUUGGAACAUGGCUGGAGCGGGCAUCCCUUUUGACCCAGGUUGA
rnacentral:rRNA from 1 species